rnacentral:snRNA from 1 species
AUCGCUUCUCGGCCUUUUGGCUAAGAUCAAGUGUAGCAACUUAUUAAACUUAAAUUUUCUCACUAAAACUCAUU